rnacentral:rRNA from 1 species
GACGAACGCUGGCGGCGUGCUUAACACAUGCAAGUCGAACGAAGUGGCGAACGGGUGAGUAACGCGUAAUCAACCUGCCCUUCAGAGGGGGAAAACAGUUGGAAACGACUGCUAAUACCGCAUACUGAAGGAGGGGAUUGCGUCUGAUUAGCUAGCUGGAGGGGUAACGGCCAACCACGGCGAUGAUCAGUAGCCGGUCUGAGAGGAUGAACGGCCACAUGGGGACUUGGACACGGCCCAGACUCCUACGGGAGGAAGCAGUGGGGAAUCUUCCGCAAUGGACGGAAGUCUGACGGAGCAACGCCGCGUGAGUGAUGACGGGCUUCGGGUUGUAAAGCUCUGUUAAUCGGGACGCGGUACCGGAAUAGAAAGCCACGGCUAACUACGUGCCAGCAGCCGCGGUAAUUC